UAGUUCUUUGAGAAAUAAGUGUUAUGGAAAGAGUACGGAAGCCUGUGAGAAUCAGGCACGGUCGCGCCGCUGUGACCGGCUACGAAACCUCGAUGCCAACCUGUUAAACCGGGUGAAGGCGGGGAAGUAGGAUUGAAGCCGGGAAGUCAGAAGACGUUUCUUUUCUUGCUCGUCUGA
rnacentral:ncRNA from 2 species